rnacentral:tRNA from 1 species
GUUUAAAUAGUUUAAUUAAAAUUUUGAUUUGUGGAGUCAAGGAUGUAUUUAUUACUUUAAAUA